rnacentral:rRNA from 1 species
GAUGAACGCUGGCGGCGUGCCUAAUACAUGCAAGUCGAGCGAACAGACGAGGAGCUUGCUCCUCUGACGUUAGCGGCGGACGGGUGAGUAACACGUGGAUAACCUACCUAUAAGACUGGGAUAACUUCGGGAAACCGGAGCUAAUACCGGAUAAUAUAUUGAACCGCACGGUUCAAUAGUGGAAGACGGUUUCGCUGUCACUUAUAGAUGGAUCCGCGCCGCAUUAGCUAGUUGGUAAGGUAACGGCUUACCAAGGCGACGAUGCGUAGCCGACCUGAGAGGGUGAUCGGCCACACUGGAACUGAGACACGGUCCAGACUCCUACGGGAGGCAGCAGUAGGGAAUCUUCCGCAAUGGGCGAAAGCCUGACGGAGCAACGCCGCGUGAGUGAUGAAGGUCUUCGGAUCGUAAAACUCUGUUAUUAGGGAAGAACAAAUGUGUAAGUAACUAUGCACGUCUUGACGGUACCUAAUCAGAAAGCCACGGCUAACUACGUG